rnacentral:rRNA from 1 species
CCUACGGGGGGCAGCAGUGAGGAAUAUUGGUCAAUGGACGCAAGUCUGAACCAGCCAUGCCGCGUGCAGGAAGACGGCUCUAUGAGUUGUAAACUGCUUUUGGUUGGGAAUAAACGGUGGCUCGUGAGCCUCGUAUUGUAUGUACCAUCAGAAAAAGGACCGGCUAAUUCCGUGCCAGCAGCAGCGGUAAUACGGAGGGUCCGGGCGUUAUCCGGAUUUAUUGGGUUUAAAGGGAGCGUAGGCCGGCUUUUAAGUCAGCUGUGAAAGUCCGCGGCUCAACCGUGGAAUUGCAGUUGAAACUGGAGGCCUUGAGUGCACACAGGGAUGCCGGAAUUCAUGGUGUAGCGGUGAAAUGCUUAGAUAUCAUGAAGAACUCCGAUCGCGAAGGCAAGUGUCCGGGGUGCAACUGACGCUGAGGCUCGAAAGUGCGGGUAUCAAACAGGAUUAGAUACCCCUGUAGUC